rnacentral:rRNA from 1 species
UACGUAGGGGGCAAGCGUUGUCCGGAUUUAUUGGGCGUAAAGAGCUCGUAGGCGGUUCGACAAGUCGGAUGUGAAAUCUCCACGCUCAACGUGGAGGGGCCAUUCGAAACUGUCGUGACUUGAGUCCGGUAGGGGAGUGUGGAAUUCCCGGUGUAGCGGUGAAAUGCGCAGAGAUCGGGAGGAACACCGGUGGCGAGGCGGCCUGCUGGGCAGUGGCUGACAGCUGAGGCGCGACAGCGUGGGGAGCAAACAGGG